ACCUCUAUGCUGGAAUUGGUAGACAGAGCAAAGUUAAGUUUUGUCGCAGAGAUGCAUUUAGGUUCAAGUCCUAAUAGAGGUA